ACAAGUUCCAUAUACUUUAUCCUUAAUUUUUUUGCUUAUUUCUUCUUUCCUAAUGAACAAAAAGAUUUUGUUAAAAAAAAAAAUGUAAAUCAAGGAGAUCACGUAUUGAGGUGAGAUGAGAAAGAGAGAGUGUGUGGCUUUAAAGAAGGAAUAGGAUGGAGUAAGAAAAGUGAAAAAGGAGAGAAGGAAGGAAAUCAUGGAAGUGAGUGAAGAGUCAGAACGACAACCACUUCUGCUCUUAAAUCACCAUUUACUCUUCUCUCUCUCUCCUAUGCGUUUCCAUCAUUACAUUUGUGUAAUAUAUGUAUCCACAGUCCACACACUCUCUUUGACACUGAUUUUGGCUUUUUCAUGAUGGGUGGGCAUCUUUGAAUUUCUUACUCCCAUUUUAUAGCACAUGGUUUCUCAUACUUGUAAAUAUGCCAAGAUUGUACUGCUU